rnacentral:rRNA from 1 species
CACGGGGGGAGCAAGCGUUGUUCGGAAUUACUGGGCGUAAAGGGCGUGUAGGCGGUCAAGUAAGUGGAAUGUGAAACGCCUCGGCUUACCCGAGGACCUGCAUCCCAAACUGCUUGGCUUGAGUAUGGGAGAGGAUGAGGGAAUUCCUGGUGUAGCGGUGAAAUGCGUAGAUAUCAGGAGGAACACCGGUGGCGAAAGCGCUCAUCUGGCCCAAUACUGACGCUGAGGCGCGAAAGCGUGGGGAGCGAACAGG